rnacentral:rRNA from 1 species
UACGGGGGGGGCAAGCGUUGUUCGGAAUUACUGGGCGUAAAGGGCGCGUAGGCGGCCUUCUAAGUCAGACGUGAAAUCCCUCGGCUCAACCGAGGAACUGCGUCUGAUACUGGGAGGCUUGAGUACGGAAGAGGCGAGUGGAAUUCCUGGUGUAGCGGUGAAAUGCGCAGAUAUCAGGAGGAACACCAAUUGCGAAGGCAGCUCGCUGGGACGUUACUGACGCUGAGACGCGAAAGCGUGGGGAGCAAACAGG